GACGAAGGGGGCUAGCGUUGUUCGGAAUUACUGGGCGUAAAGCGCGCGUAGGCGGCUUUGCAAGUCGGGUGUGAAAUCCCCAGGCUUAACCUGGGAACUGCAUUCGAGACUGCAUUGCUAGAGUAUGGGAGAGGGAAGUGGAAUUUCCGGUGUAGCGGUGAAAUGCGUAGAUAUCGGAAGGAACAUCAGUGGCGAAAGCGACUUCCUGGACCAAUACUGACGCUCAUGUGCGAAAGCGUGGGGAGCAAACAGG
rnacentral:rRNA from 1 species